GAAGAAAGGGCCGGGCAAGACCGGUGCCAGCCGCCGCGGUAAUACCGGCGGCUCGAGUGGUGGCCGCUAUUACUGGGCUUAAAGGGUCCGUAGCUUGAUAACUGGGUCCCUUGAGAAAUCCGCCAGCUUAACUGGCGGGCGUUCAGGGGAAACUUGUUUUCUAGGGACCGGGAGAGGUGAGGGGUACUGCCGGGGUAGGAGUGAAAUCCUGUAAUCCCGGUGGGACCACCUAUGGCGAAGGCAUCUCACCAGAACGGGUCCGACAGUGAGGGACGAAAGCUGGGGGAGCAAACCGGAUUAGAUACCCGUGUAGUCCC
rnacentral:rRNA from 1 species